AGGAGCUCAAACUAUUUAGAUUAAAAUCUAAUUCAAUUAAGAAUUAGAUGUCACCUAAUUAGAGGAGGAUUCUAUUAGAAAAUCGCUACAAUUUCGUACAUGAAGUUUAAAAUUUUUCUAAACAUCUAUGCAGUUAAAAUGAAUAAAUUAAAAUAUUUUUAAUUUAAUUAUAUACCAGAUCUGAUAUGAAAAUUAUAGCAAGGAUCUUGAUACGAAUAGGCAACUACGAUCUAAAAUCUAAAAAAGAAAACAAACUGUUAGCAAAAUAAAUCAGAGAUUGGAUCUCCGUACCUUGGAUCUUGUGGAUGUCCUGCAUUCAGAUCGUAGUCACGCACGCGUCUGGCCUCUAUUGGUAUCCACAUGGAGAUGUCUGAUCAGAGCACCAAGAUCACUGCUGUGCUAGCACCUUGCAGAUCUCAUUCCUCAUCUUUGGAUCUAGAUCUCUUCUUUCAGAUCUCGAAGAAGGAGAUCGUUGUACUAACUCUUUCACGCAGAUCCGAUAGGAUCUGAACAAAAUCACCAUGAAGGAAAGAGGAACACUUUUUCUUCUCUUCUUCUCUCUCUUUUUCACUCUUACAUCUAAUCACCAUCAGAUCUAGGCAUUGGAUGAAGGAGAGAAAACAAGAGGAGGCAUUGGGAGAGAGUUGUGAUGUAAGAAAGAAGCGCCUUACAUCUUUCACAUCAAAAACCUCACGCACACCCUUCUUUUUGUCACACCCCCACAAAGUCUUCACGCCCCUAAAAGGAUAAGAUCAGAUCUUAUCAAAAUAAGGAAACCAUGGCAUGAAAAAGAGGAAGGAAAUAAGUGUGUGCUAAUAAGAAAUCGCAUGAUAUAUAUCUCAUCCCAAUCUUUUAGCGCACGUCCACUCUUUCCUAAAAUUUUUUAUCACACAAAAAAUAUUUUUCAUAUCCCAAUUAGAUAUAUUUCUAUCUUAUUUUGAAUCAUAUUCAAAUAGAAAGAAAUUUGGAUGAGAAAGAAUACCAGAUAAGGUGGGGCGCCAACUAUUGGCGCUCCCUCCCCUUUCACGUGCGCAAAAAUAAAGUGGCAAGAAAAACCAUCGCCCCACUUCCUUUUUGGCAUGAAAUAUAAAGAG
rnacentral:lncRNA from 1 species